GCUCGUCGGGGGUCGCGCGGCCUGGCUAUGCCUCAGGCCAGGGGAAGGGUGGGGUUCAGGGGCCGGGCCGGCGGGGCGCCCCGCAUGGUCGCUGGGGUCCUCGCGGCGCAGCGACCACUAGGACUAGGGUAGCCCCAGCCGCCCCCGUGCACCCAGGACGGUCGGAAGGAAUGGGUGGCAGCGCUCUGCCCAUAGGGACUCUGGUCGUGUUGAGGCCUCCCCUUGGCUGAGUCCAGCUGUGAGCCUGGAUCUCUGCAUGGGCCGUACCCCAGCUGCCGAUGUUGAUGGUGCCAAGGAGAUGAGCUGGGGACCAUUUGGGCAUCUGGGAGUGGCAGUUUUCAGAAUGGAUCUCUCUCUUGGCCAUGAGGGUCUCCUACUAUCCCCCUGCAUGUGCCCCAUGUCACCCUCCAGCUUCAGCUGCAGACAACAGACCGUGGGAUAGGAGUUGGAGGCCCCCUGCACACCCACUUCAGGAGGUGCCCUCUGAAGCUGCUUCAAAGGGAAUGGAAAUGCACCCCAUAGCCUGCCCCUUGGGCGUGAGAAUUAUUUUAAUAAUUGGAAGCAGAAAGACACCUUCCAAGGCUCCUGUUAUGUGACUAACAGCAGAAACUGCUGAGGAAUGAGGGUUGCCACAGGUCCGCCUCCCAGGGGAAGUUUUAUGGCUCUGAAGGAGGUGGAAAGUGGGACACCACUGAUGAACUUUAUCGUUUGUUGGUUUCCCCAAAAUACUUUCUGUUAUGAUCUGAAUGUUCAUGUCCCCCAAAAUUCACAUGUUCAAUCCUAACCCCCAAGGAGAUGGGGCCUUUGGGAGGUGAUGAGGUCAGAAAGGUGGAGCCCUCAGGAAUGGGGCUGCUGCGGAAGAAGGGGCUGAGAGCUCCCAGCCCCCUCUUCCAUGUGAGGACGGUGGGAAGUUGGCUGUCUAUGAACUGGGAAGGAGCCCCCACGCGACUGUGCUGGUGCCCUGGUCUUGGACUUCCAGCCUCCAGAGCCAUGAGCAUGAAGUUCUUGCUGUUUAUAAGCCGCCCAGUCUUGUGUUCUGUGACAACAGCUGGAAUGGACCAAGACACUUUCCCAGUUGCUGCCCUUGGGAGCCUGUCACCUUUCCCUUUGUCUCUUCUCUCCAAAUGUACUGUUCCUUGUUCAGAUGCUGAACAAAACCACCCAGCCAGCCACACACAUUGCUGUGCUUUCUUCCUGUGAUGUGUGCGGGCCACAUGUGUUAACAGUUUGCUUUUCUCUCCUUGAUUUGUCUUUUCUCAGUCUGAUUUAGGGUGGAAGAAAAAGGCCCUUUCCUCCCCUACAAAGGGUCACCUGGCCUGCCCACACAGUGGCUUAGAGGCUACUUUUGUCAGCCUGGGCUCUAUAACUGUGGAGGGGAUGCUCAGCUGGCCCUGCCACCUACCUGCUUUAUUGCGGGAGUUACAGACACUUCCACUGUGGGGUCCAGCAGUUGGGGCUGUUUGUUACAGUGGUUGUUCUCCUAUCUGACUGAUACACCCCUGGACACACAGACAUGCACUCAGAUCUCCUUGACCCGUUGCCCUUCACCCCUGGGCCCACCUUGUGCUCCUCCACAGCCUCCUCCACGGGGACCACUCUGUGAGGCCGGUGUUCCUGGGACUCCCUGCAGACCACGCAGAUGGGGCUCUGGUCAUCUUCGCAAAAGAGUUUGAGCACCUCCUGGUGCACCUGGCACAGAUCCCUGCUCUGGAUGCCCGGGUGCUGUCGUGCCAUCUCAGCCACCUUGGUCAGCAGGCGGUUGGGCCGCAGGGUCCUCUGGGGGGACAGCUCGCGGCACUCGGGGCAGGGGAAGACACCCUUGCGCUUCCUCCUGCCCUUCUUGCCUUUGGCCUUCUCCCAAGUCAGCCGGAUGCACUCACGGCAGAAGUUGUGGCCACAGGUGGUCAUCACAGGGUCAGUGAAAUAGUCAAGGCAGAUGGAGCAUGUUGCCUCUUCCUGCAGCUUUCUGGAAAGUUCCACAGCAUCCAUGGCUCCUGGGAAAGAAACAGAGUAUCCGGCCACACCCUCUGCCCAGAACCCCAGGCACUUGAGGUGUCCUCUUGCGGACAGCACUGUACAUGGUCCUGUUAGGGCACCUGGCUUGUCUUCAGUAAGAGGCAUAGGUGCCUCUCUGAAAGCUGACAAAGACUCUCCACAACCGAAUUCAGCCAGGUUCCCCUAUGCUGCCACCUGUAUCCCUAGCCAUGCCCAGUUUUAUUCCAUUUAGAGCCCAUUCCACCCCUCCUGUGAUGCAUGUGCAGGAAUCCUGCUAGUCAGUUUAGCAACAAGAUCCCUCCCCAUUUCUCUUCAUUGUGAUUUUCUAUCACUAACCCCCUCACCGUGCCCUGGGCCAUCCUCCCUUUGUGUAGGCUACAGUAAGAGGUGACCCCAUCUUCCUCCCUAUUGCAAUAGUCUUGAAUAAAGUCUUCCUUACCGGUG